CCCAGACUCCUACGGGAGGCAGCAGUGGGGAAUAUUGGACAAUGGGGGGAACCCUGAUCCAGCGACGCCGCGUGAGUGAAGAAGUAUUUCGGUAUGUAAACCUCUAUCAGCAGGGAAGAAAGAAAUGACGGUACCUGACUAAGAAGCCCCGGCUAACUACGUGCCAGCAGCCGCGGAAAUACGUAGGGGGCAAGCGGUAUCCGGAUUUACUGGGUGUAAAGGGAGCGUAGACGGCGAUGCAAGUCUGAAGUGAAAGGCUGGGGCCCAACCCCCGGACUGCUUUGGAAACUGUAUGGCUGGAGUGCAGAAGAGGUAAGUGGAAUUCCUGGUGUAGCGGUGAAAUGCGUAGAUAUUAGGAGGAACACCAGUGGCGAAGGCGGCUUACUGGACUGUAACUGACGUUGAGGCUCGAAAGCGUGGGGAGCAAACAGGAUUAGAUACCCGGGUA
rnacentral:rRNA from 1 species